rnacentral:rRNA from 1 species
AAUCAACGCUGGCGGCGCGCCUAACACAUGCAAGUCGAACGAGAAAGUGGAGCAAUCCAUGAGUACAGUGGCGUACGGGUGAGUAACACGUGGGUGAUCUACCUUUUAGUGAGGAAUAACCAACGGGAAACGUUUAGGUCGUAAUAACCGCAUAAGACCUGAGAAGGGAAAGGACAGAAAUAGCGCUGAAAGAGGAGCCCGCGGCCGAUUAGCUAGUUGGUGAGGUAAGAGCCCACCCAAGGCAGAGAUCGGUAGCCGGCCUGAGAGGGC